UGGCGAGUGGCGAACGGGUGAGUAACAUAUCGGAACGUACCGGGUAGCGGGGGAUAACUGAUCGAAAGAUCAGCUAAUACCGCAUACGUCUUGAGAGGGAAAGCAGGGGACCUUCGGGCCUUGCGCUAUCCGAGCGGCCGAUAUCUGAUUAGCUGGUUGGCGGGGUAAAGGCCCACCAAGGCGACGAUCAGUAGCGGGUCUGAGAGGAUGAUCCGCCACACUGGGACUGAGACACGGCCCAGACUCCUACGGGAGGCAGCAGUGGGGAAUUUUGGACAAUGGGCGCAAGCCUGAUCCAGCCAUGCCGCGUGUCUGAAGAAGGCCUUCGGGUUGUAAAGGACUUUUGUCAGGGAAGAAAAGGCCGUUGCCAAUAUCGGCGGCCGAUGACGGUACCUGAAGAAUAAGCACCGGCUAACUACGUGCCAGCAGCCGCGGUAAUACGUAGGGUGCGAGUGUUAAUCGGAAUUACUGGGCGUAAAGCGGGCGCAGACGGUUACUUAAGCAGGAUGUGAAAUCCCCGGGCUCAACCCGGGAACUGCGUUCUGAACUGGGUGACUCGAGUGUGUCAGAGGGAGGUGGAAUUCCACGUGUAGCAGUGAAAUGCGUAGAGAUGUGGAGGAAUACCGAUGGCGAAGGCAGCCUCCUGGGAUAACACUGACGUUCAUGUCCGAAAGCGUGGGUAGCAAACAGGAUUAGAUACCCUGGUAGUCCACGCCCUAAACGAUGUCAAUUAGCUGUUGGGCAACUUGAUUGCUUGGUAGCGUAGCUAACGCGUGAAAUUGACCGCCUGGGGAGUACGGUCGCAAGAUUAAAACUCAAAGGAAUUGACGGGGACCCGCACAAGCGGUGGAUGAUGUGGAUUAAUUCGAUGCAACGCGAAGAACCUUACCUGGUUUUGACAUGUGCGGAAUCCUCCGGAGACGGAGGAGUGCCUUCGGGAGCCGUAACACAGGUGCUGCAUGGCUGUCGUCAGCUCGUGUCGUGAGAUGUUGGGUUAAGUCCCGCAACGAGCGCAACCCUUGUCAUUAGUUGCCAUCAUUCGGUUGGGCACUCUAAUGAGACUGCCGGUGACAAGCCGGAGGAAGGUGGGGAUGACGUCAAGUCCUCAUGGCCCUUAUGACCAGGGCUUCACACGUCAUACAAUGGUCGGUACAGAGGGUAGCCAAGCCGCGAGGCGGAGCCAAUCUCACAAAACCGAUCGUAGUCCGGAUUGCACUCUGCAACUCGAGUGCAUGAAGUCGGAAUCGCUAGUAAUCGCAGGUCAGCAUACUGCGGUGAAUACGUUCCCGGGUCUUGUACACACCGCCCGUCACACCAUGGGAGUGGGGGAUACCAGAAGUAGGUAGGGUAACCGCAAGGAGCCC
rnacentral:rRNA from 1 species